rnacentral:rRNA from 1 species
AAAAACAUCGCCUUUGGAAAAUUAUCAAAAGGUCCUGCCUGCCCAGUGAUUGAAAAAUUAAACGGCUGCGGUACUCUGACCGUGCAAAGGUAGCAUAAUCAUUAGCCUAUUAAUUUUAGGCUGGAAUGAAUGGCAAGACGAAGGAAAAGCUGUCUCUUUCUAUUAAUUUUUAACUUUUCUUUUUGGUGAAGAGACCAAAAUAUAAAAGUGGGACGAGAAGACCCUAUUGAGUUUUAGUUAUUGAUUAGGAAAAAAUUUUUUUUAAUAACUUUGGUUGGGGCAACUGUUUAUAAAAUUAAACAUAAAAAAAAUAAAAAUUGAUUUAAAUCUUUAAUAUAUAUAAGACCUAGAAUUUUUCUAGAAUUAAAAAUAAUUACCAUAGGGAUAACAGCGUAAUUUCUUUUGAGAGUACAUAUUGACAAAGGAGUUUGCGACCUCGAUGUUGGAUCAAGUUUUCCUGGAGGUGUAGCAGUUUCCAAGGGUUGGUUUGUUCAACCAUAAAAAUCUUACGUGAUCUGA